CACCUACCUAGAAAAGCACUCGGGCUUUCUUCCUCACACACAACUGGGCACUGUCCCCAGAACUCAACUCCACUCACGCGGUCACACCCCGCUUCUGUCUGCUCAGAGAUUCGCCUCGGCCCUGGUCACAUGCAGCUCUAGCAUGGGGGGCCCCGGGAGGAGGGUGCUGGGCCAGCGGGUACACCCUCUCAGUUGGUGGACAGCUCUCAGACUCUCAGGCUCUCCCAGCCGCUUCAGGAGGAGACAGGCGCAGGUCUGGUUCCCGCGAGGACACCCGGGAGCGGCAAGGAGGGACAAGCAGUUCCUUCCGGACGACCCGGACGGUCAGUGGAUUUGGACGUUCGGCCGAUUCCCCCGUUCUCAAGGCGGCGAGGACACGCCAGUUUGCAGCUGUGGAGAUUUCUUUUUUUUUUUUCUUUCUUUUUUUAAAAAAAUUUGGUUUUUCGAGGCAGGGUUUCAUUGUGUAACCAAACCUGGCUGUCCUGGUACUCGCUCCAUAGACCAGGCUGGCCUCGAACUCAGAGAUCCCACUGCCUCUGCCAACCCCCUCCCACCGAGUGCUGGGAUCACAGACGUGCGACCCCUCCACCCGGUUUAGAUAGUUGAGCUCAAGUGUUUGAGAUCGUGGUGUUUGUUGGUGGCCCCUAUGGUCAGGCUGGCUGGCAGCAGGCGCACACAGGUCCUGGGAAUCAAACUCAGAUCAUCAGGCUUGGCAGCUUUUCCUGCUGAACCAUCUCCCCGGCCUUUCUUGUUCACUUUCCUCCUUGACAAACCCUCGUUAAUCUCUAAUCUUUCCUAUAAUUUAUUUGCUGGUGUAUUUUAUGUAACUUUUUUUUUUUCAAGACAGGGUUUCUCUGUGUAGCCCUGGCUGUCCUUUAACUCACUCUGUAGACCAGAACUCACAGAGAUCCACCUGCCUCUGCCUCUGUUUGGAUUAAAGGCCUGUGCCGUCACCACCGCC